CAUUUGUGUAGCACAUGCAGAUGGGCUCAUGACCCCCCAAAGAGACUGUGUGGAAAUUAUUCUUUCCAGCAGGAGAUUGAAGGAGAUGCUUAAAUAUGAAGAGAAACUUCCCUCAAUAUUAUUAAUGAUACUUGGACUUAGCCUGAAUGUGCAACUUUUACUGUGUGGUUUGUAAUCUAGGUCAGUAGAGGUGAUUAAUGUCAGCUCCACCCCAUCAGCCUUCAUGAAGAAUUCUUAAAAUCACAGCUCACAGUGGUGCUAAAAUCCAUGCAGCCACUAUUCAGCAUAAAGGAGAUUCUUCAAAAUUAAAAAAUUAAUCAGAAAUAUAUGCAGUGAACACAUAUGUUUAUGUCAUCAAUUUCCCAUAUAUAAUCCCUGCUGACAGAUGUGUUCCUUCAGCAAGAAGAGUUAACCCUAAAUUGUGCUGUAUCUAGGACAUCUCAUCCUCACAUAUUCGAUAUUCGAUUCGAUAUUCGCCUUGACUGAAUUAGUCAUUCUGCAAAUACUAGUUGAAAACCUCCUCUGCACCAGGCAUAAUUCUGGAUGCUGGAAUAUAUCAUAAGGGGAGUGGAAAACAGGCCUACUUUCCUAGAGUGUGUUCUUGCAUGUGGGGAAAAGGGCAGUAAGGAAAAAGAUGAGUGUGUAUAUACAUUUGUUAUGUUGUGGAAAGCCUUAAGAGGAAAAAUUAGCUAGGUAAGGAGAUAAUAGGAACAGGUGAGUGGAAAUUAUAUUCUUAUUGGGUUGCUUCCCUGGCCUUUCAGAUAAGGUGGUGCAGGGAAAAAGGAAGAGGCCAGAAACAGGGCCAUCCAGCAAAGAAUGUUCCUGGAUGUGGAAACAGCAGGUGCACACUCUGAAUCUAGAGGGUUCUGUGUAUUCUAGAGGAAGAAAGGAGGCUUUGUGGCUGCAACAAAAGAUAAGGGAGCAUCUGCGUUUUCAGAAUAUACUAUUAUCCUUAGUUACUUACUUGUAUUUGGGACCUGGUAGGCUACUGGAUUGGAAAGAGACCAGAAAUGAGAAAGAGGGUAAAAAGAAAAUGAAAGAAAGAUUUUAAAAAUAGAGGUUUGAAAAGAAUUAAAGAGAAAAUGAUUCUAGUAUCCAUGAGGACACAGGUUCAAUCCCUGGCCUCCCUCAGUGGGUUAAGGAUCCAGCAUUGCUGUGAGCUGUGGUGUAGGUCACAGACAUGGCUCAGAUCUGGUUUGGCUGUGUCUGUGGUGUAGGCCAGCAUCUGUAACUCCAAUUUGACCCCUAGCCUGGGAACUUCCAUAUGCUGUGGGUGCAGCC
rnacentral:lncRNA from 1 species